CUGGAGAACAGGUGGACCUGGCCCUGGAUUAGAAGUGGCAGGGAAAGAAAAGAGAAGAACAAAGGUCGAUUUGAGUGACUAAGUAGGUCGAUUAGGAGGAGGAGGAAAUCCAGCACUCUUGAAAAUAAACCCUUUGAGACUCUCUAUCUACCAAGAUCUACCGAUUACAGUAUUUGAAAGAACUUACCGGACACAGGCCACCUGUCUUCCCCCCCACCCCCUACUUCCUCCACGGCCCCACCUUGACAGCUAAAGCUCACGAGCAUGACCGAUCUGGGGUGCUCUGGCUUUUGAGGUUUAGUACGGCUGGUUCCUCCAGAGCUGAGGUAGGUAAACUUUUUCUAAAAGGGCCACAGGUACUAUUUCAGUCUUUGUAGGUCACAUGGUUUCUGUUAUGACAACCCAACUCCACCACUGUGGCCCAAAAGCAACCAGACCCAUACACCAAUAAACACGGCUGUGUUCCUUUGGCCUACGGCCCAAUACUUGUGCUCAGGGUUCACAGUCUCAAAGCGCUACAGUCUGGGAACCCAAGGAACCAGGUAAGGAUCUUCACAGAUUAACAGACGGUGGGCUAGGUCCUGCAGGGUUGGGGAGGAGCUGUCGAUGAAGAUCUAAGUAAAGUGUUCCAAGGCACGUGGGGAACAGGGGAGGGAGGAAUAGACAGAGACUAAUUAAGUUCAUCUGUAAAAAAAAAAAAGAAAUACUACACAAUAUUGGCUGGGCUGCACCAGCCAUCGCUGCCCUGGGAAAGGGCUCCACACAUGCAGUUUGCUUUCCUUCCCCAGGCCUACUUCAGAUCUAUAAAUCAGGUGCUCAGACUAAUCAACAUUCUGUGAGUACAUGGGUCAUCAACAACACUGCCACAUUCCUGGAACAAGACUUCACACCUGUAAAGUCGGUGAGAAGCACAUCAUCCGGCUUUCAAGGGGUAGCCCUUACUUUGGUGCACAGGGACACUGGAGUCAGAAAGAACCAAAUCAAAAGCUUCUUUCAAAACUUCCAACCGACCUGUGUGACCUUUGGCAAAGGACUGAACUGCUCUGAGCUCCAGUUUCUCCAUCUAUCAAAAUGGGAGCGACACGGUACCUGCUUCACAGGAGUGUGGUGAGCGUUAAAUGAGGUCCGACCGUGUUUGGCCCACGGUACUUGUGGAACUGUCAAUGGAGGCAAACUGCAAAACAAAACAAAACCACCCACAUGGCUGUUUUCCAUGACCUGAUGUUACUUUUCCAUGGUCCAAAGGAAGCAUUCCGCAUCAGAUGCAUUAAGGUGGAAGUGGAAAUGGAAGGCUCAAAAUAGAACAAAGCAAAUAACUGGCCACUGCGGUAAAGUCAGGAGGGACGUGGGGCCUCAAGGAGGCCACUUGCUUUGAGUCACGUCUCUGCGCACUGCAGUCCCCACGGUGUCCAGAACCAUGUGGCAGUCCAGGGCUUCCUAAAUGGGGGUUGUACUUGGCUGAUUUCUUAGAUGACCAUUUUCUUAAUAGUUUUGAUAUUCAAAGUCUCUGCUGGUGUCUGCAGACUAUAAGGGACAGCAUUUUAGAUAGAACCUGGGUGCCUUUAGGAAUCCCUACUAAGAACCUAUGAGAACCUACCAGCUGCCUCUCCUUCCUUGUGCCAGGGGUCCCAGAGCUGACAUCGUCAUCCCAGGGCCAUUCUGUACAACAUGAACAAAGUCUCCCCAGGGUCUGGAAGGCAGGCUUGACUGCUUCUGGAACAGCCGGGGCUUGUUUCACUGUGAAGACGCAGCUCACUGCCUGGGCUCUGGGUGCCACCCCUGCAACGGGGGCCUGUACCACUCCGCCUGGUGGCUCCCCUUCUCUGACCCAGCUCUGGCUCAGCUCCUCAAGGCCGAGGCAACCUUCAAGGAGGAAGGAGAAAGGGGAUUCAUGGGACUGGGGAAGGGGAGGGCAGGGGCUGACACACGGGUUCCCAUUGCCACAAAACUCAGGCUUGGCACCUCGCCAGCACCAGCGGCCCAGCCAGACUGCAGUGUUCAGGAGCUGACCCAAACUUCCUGGGACCUCAGGAAGGGGUGCUUCUUGGGGCUCCUUCUGAAUCAGAUCACUUCAUAGCACAUGAGAAGAGGUGACAGAGUAGGAGGCACUCAGGGCACUGACCCAAAGGCAGGGCCCAUUUCCUUGGAGAGCUGCAGCUCCAGAGGAAGGCAGGCAAUAAACAACCCUACGGGAUUACAUAAGCUGGCCAAAGGGCUACGGGACACCAGAGGAAAGGAUGAGGCCCGCGGGAAAAGGUGUCAACUGCACCUGCUCCCCCAGGGGACCGCCCAGGACAGCCCCUCCAGCUCCCACCUGCACUGACCCCCUCUGGCAUGCCCCUCGCCUCUUGGAGGUUGGGUUCUCUUCCUCAACCCCCCCUAACCUGCCACCACCCAGUCUUACUCCUAGGUUCGUACUUUCUGUCUUCCAAGAUGGUGAAGAGACAAACUCACAAACCAACUCUUGCACUCUCCUAGCAAACGUUCAAGAAAGCAGCCCACAAGUGGCUCCCAACAUCAAGGGAUCCGCGAGUACAGUUCUUGUCUAUACUGCCAGGCUGCUGAGUUACUGGGGAAAAACCAUUUGUCCUCCUUACCCACAUAAGAGACAGAAUACCACCUUCUCCAAGGGUCACCUUGGGCUGAUAAUGUACACAAGGCACCUAACACCAUCCCCAGGGUAAGGGGCCGUUGAUCCAUUUCAUUCUCCUCUCUGCCAAAGAAAGUCACAGUAGAACUCAGAUGCUAUGGGGGGUGGGGGGCGCAACAGAACAGAGAAAGGUUAUUCUAGCAAAUGACCAUGAUGUCUUGGCCCCUGCUUUGAAAUGCACGAAGGAACCACACAAAAUAUCCAGCAAGUAGGGAUUCCUAAAUGCACCUGGGUUCUAUCUAAAAUGCUAUCAUUUGUAGUCUACAGACACCAGGAAAGACUUUAAAAUAUCAAAAGUGUUAAAAAAUGGUCUUCUAAGAAACUAGCCAAGUACACCAAAGAGGGAAGCCGGAGGGGAAAAAAAACAUGGACUACAAAGAAUUUUUUUUCUAGAUACAUCCGUGUCCAAUUCCUAUAACAAAAUUAUUUCAGAAGUGAAAGGUUUUUGGUUUUUUUAAUACUCUAAUCAUUGCUUCUUUAUGCUAAAUGUCUAAAUUUAAAUUUACUAAGUGUUUGUUUCCUCAAAAGCAGAAGGAGGGACAGAAAAAUUUUAACUUCUCACUCAAGUCAGUGGCCCAGGGAGCUUCAGUGUGGUUCUGAUUCCCUCCAGGAUCGGGGUGGGGACACCCCCACCCCCACCUGGCACACAGCCCCAGUCCCUGGGCAAGAGGGGCUGCACAUCUAGGUCCUCACAAUCCCAGCCACGGGCAUUCUGUACACCUAAGGACGUGUCCUCUAACUAUCAGAGGUGGAAAUCACCCCCAUGCCUGCAGUGGUCCUGUGAUUAUUCACAGGCACGUUCUAGACCCUCCGAAGACAGAAAUCACAAUCAACGUGUGACUUGCGUGGUGUUCAGAUACCUGUGCUCUAUGAUGACUGAAGGGCCCCAGCUCCCUCAGAAGCACCAUGAAUAUCAACUCUGUUCUCUCCCGGAGUGGAGGACAUGGGGCACGUGGUGGGAUGGCUGUGUGUGUAUUUCAAUCUAAGCAGGAAGAAUCAAUAAUCUCCUUGUAUUAACACCUAAAUAAAACCAAAAUAAUCCCCAA